AGGAAGAGAGAACGUUGGGAGGCAAACUAAAAGGACAGAGUGCAAGGUGACUCCCCAUCUGAUUUCCCUUUCCUCCCUGCGGGAUCAGCUAAGCGCAUCUACCUGAUGGCAACGAAGAGAUCAGGAAGUCGCACGGAUUUUAGAGCACAAUCUUCCAACAGAGGCAGAGAAAGAGUUCGAGAGGAUCAUUGUGUGACAGCUGAGCUCAGGUUCUUCUGGAGAUGCCCUCUGGCUGUUCUGAGAGAAGGUUUCUGUCUGACGAGGAGAAUCGUUCAUAUGCAGAAAGCAUCAUUGGCAUAAUAUGCUGUGGAAAUUUUGGCUCCGAGUGAAAUGAGUUCCCCAGAUUGCACCAGUCUGAUGGUUUUGAUUUGAACACUUGGAGACCCAGGUCCUUUCUGGAAGACCAUUACUAUUCAAGUGUGAUGUGGAAUGAAUGCAAAUCAUAGAUGUCAUGGGAAAAAAAACAGGAGCUAUAAAGAUAUAAAGAUCAUGUAUUUGCUGUUUGUGAUUUUA